UAGAAUAAUUUGAAUUGAUUAAUUACUACUCCAUAUCAUUAUCAUCUUCUUCAUCAUCAUCAACUUCAACAUACAUCGGAACUACUAAUAGAAGUUGCUAGGCAAACUUUUGUAUCAAAUCCAAGAAAAAAGUCCCCUUUGACAAAUUUUGACGCCACCAAACAAUUUAGGAGGAGAUAAAAAAUCAAUCACACAUUAUACUAUAUUUUAAAAUUUUCCUAAAGAUUAACAGAGCAAAAUAGUGCACAAUAACUAAUGAGUUGACCUCUAAGUGUUGUUUGUGUCAAUAAAACAGACAUUUUCAUACAAGUUGUUCAUAAUAAGGGUUAGAAGCUUUUACCGUGUACGACUUACUAAUGUGUACAUAGCGGGUUACACGAGAGAGAUGUGUAAUUAGUUGCAAAAGUCAUCUUGUUAGUUCAAUUGCUA
rnacentral:lncRNA from 1 species